rnacentral:rRNA from 1 species
CAGGAAUCUUGCGCAAUGGGCGAAAGCCUGACGCAGCAACGCCGCGUGGGCGAUGAAGGCCUUCGGGUCGUAAAGCCCUGUUGUCGGGGACGAAGGGCGAAGGGUUAAUAGCCCCUAGCCUGACGGUACCCGACGAGGAAGCCCCGGCUAACUACGUGCCAGCAGCCGCGGUAAUACGUAGGGGGCGAGCGUUGUCCGGAAUCACUGGGCGUAAAGAGCGUGUAGGCGGCCCGGUAAGUCUGCUGUGAAAACCCGGGGCUCAACCCCGGGCGUGCAGUGGAAACUGCCGGGCUAGAGGGCGGCAGAGGCGAGUGGAAUUCCCGGUGUAGCGGUGAAAUGCGCAGAUAUCGGGAGGAACACCAGUAGCGAAGGCGGCUCGCUGGGCCGUCCCUGACGCUGAGACGCGAAAGCUAGGGGAGCGAACA